GCCGCGGCCGCCACGCUGCCGCCCCGAGCGCCGUCCGUCCCCAGAGCCGCUCCGUCGCACGAACGCGCCUCCGCCAGCGGGGGGUCCCCAACGGUAGCGGCGGCGGCUGCCGGAAGUGACGCGCUGACUGACAGGUUCGGGGUGCCCGGAGUGCAAGCGCUGCCGCCUCCCCCCCAGGCUCCCGUUGUUGAUGCCAUCGCUCCGUUCCCGCAACCGCACCAAAGCGCUUCCCGUAAACCUGCCGAAUUACGGCAUCGGAGCGAGCGCUCCAACCGUACCCGCAGCACCAGGAGCAACGAAGCGCCCCGCGACAAACAGCGAUGGCGUUUCGAAACGCAAAACUUCGUCCGAGUUGGCGAGACGGGGAGAGGCAGCGCCAGUUCCGCCAUCGCCGCCCGCAGCCGUCGGUGCGGGUUUCACGGAGCGCUCACAGCCAGGUGUGGUCAGCAAAAAUUCUCCCAGGAAGGAGAGAAAGGAAAGGCUGCACACCCCCACCCCCCCACCAACCGUGGAGAGCUUUAAAAGCGUACAAAAAAAAAGGCGGAGGGGACGGAGGUCGGAUGGGAUCAGCCGGAGCUCCCGUGCUGCCAAAGCUGGCAGGGUUUCGUUUGGGGUUUUGCAAAAUGGAUUCUUAAAUUUCAUCUGGAGGAGGAUUUAUCGCACUCAUGAGGAGGUUUUACGUUUAGAAUCUGAAGAAGGGGCGUAACAGCUCCCCGGUAAAUUAAUUAGCUGCUUUUUAAUCAGGUCGAAACUUCCCCUCUUGGAAGGUUUGGUUCCUUUAGAAGAUGCCACACAAAUAUGACGGGUGCCCCCCACAAGGUUCUGUGCUUUCUGUCUGUCUGCACCCGCAGUGCUUCUCCCCUCGAGCAGCCCAUAACAUUUCCUCGCAUCAGGACCAAGCUUCUGAGUUUGUGUUCGGUAUACAUAGCUGCGUUCCUUCUGAUUCAUUUAGCCUCAUCAACCACAAUGAAGAUACCGAAUCGGAACAGGCUGGCAAUUUUGCUGAGGAAACAUGGGAGUGAGCAGACUCCAGCUGGCUCCUGGGCAGAUAUGCUGGCCAGUUGACAGGAGUAAAACUGCAAGAAAUCUGACACAGAAAGCGCACACGGGGCGAGGAGACAGACAGCAGUGGCAGGCAGGUAGGCAGGCGUUGCACAGCACCUGCUCACUGCUUUUGGGUCCAGGGCGAUACAUUCCCCCCUCUGGACUGGCUCUGAGCACGCCAUUUGGUGCCAGGUUAUCCUACCUCCCAUCAUGCACAUCCAGUGUUCCUUGCAGGGAUCAGGCAUAUGCAGUCCCGGGCUGCCAUUGGAGUCUCUUCUGCUCAUUUUGCUCAUUUCUCGCUUCCACUUUCUGAAAGUUUGAGGAGAAACUGGCAGUCGCGGUGCUUUAGCCAGGUUGAUCAGUAAAAACAGAAGGGAGGACGGCAGCAACGUGGUGAGCAGCCACGAGGUAGCAACCCCAACACAGCCAUGAAAGCGCCAGCCUUGCAGACCGCUGCUAAAAAUUGCAAUGGAGCAAUGUGGUAGCUGCCCCUAGCAUUCUGCUCUCUCAGUGCCACUUACAGGGACUGCAGCGCAGCUUCCAGCACCCAGCCCUGUUCAAGCCAUCUCAGCAAGGAGCGUGGAGCUUGCACAGGCUCAUCUGUCCCCUCCGAGCACACUAACACAGAGGCAGGUGUUGCAGAGUGCAAGGCUGCAGGCCCGCUGCGUGACAUGGGGUGUCACCCACACGUCAGGAUAUGUGACAGUGAACCACCCUGCAGAGAGGCAACUGCAAGGCCACAGCGUGGGGCUUGGAGGAGAAGGACCCGCUCCCCAGCUGCUGCAAAGCUCCUCGGGCCAAAGAGCUGCAGUGCCCUGCCCAGCUCCUCCCCACGAGGGGUGAGCUCGGUAUGUAACCUCACGAGCCCACCAGAGUUAUCCAACCUAAAGGUUUUGCAGAGAUUCUGGUGGCAGGCACUCACAAAGUAACUCAGUGGGUCUGAAGGGAUACUUGCAUAAUUCCCCUGUUUUCAGGAGGAGCUUGCUAGUAUAUAUCACAGAAGAACCAGGACAUUUUUCUUCGCGUGUCCAUGGUGUCAGUCCUGACCUAGAAUGACUUCAGAACAAACACUCAAAAUUCAGCUUCCGCUUAAACCUAGUUCCAGCACCAGCCUUGAGUCACACCUCAUCAGAAGCAAGUGAAAGAAAGAAGCCUUAUCCCAAGGCUUGCCCUUCUCCCAAGGAAGCGCUCCUUGUUGUGCAAGACUCAGUGUAAGCCGAUCUAUAAUACCCGCAUCAAUUUUGCAAUGCUGUCCCAUCAUUUGGAGUUUGAUAGCACUGCCGUGCAAUUCCUUACCUUCAUACUGGGUCAUUAACUCAGCAGAAGGGCACUGAGGCAUAGCAAAGCAGGACAUCAUCUGCUGUAAUACCUUUAUAUUAUGUGCCAACAGCUUUGACUUGGAGAAGAACCAUCCCCGCGUCAGCAAACUGUUUGCUUUUGGUUUUAAUUGUCUAUCUACAAACAAAUCAUUUGAUACAGUCUCCUGGACAUGUUUUGUCUUAAAUGGACCCUAUUGACAUCUUGCAAAAUGUUGACAAAUGAGAGUCCUUUGAACAGCAGAGAGGAAUUAGCAAACAGCAGCGCUUCCCAGCUGGUUGCUCUGCAAAAUAGUUCCCUUUCCUGUAUGUUUCUUCCAGAAGCAGCGCGAUGUCCCCCCCAAAAAAGGAGCCUUUACUUCGUUCCCCUUUUCCAGCAUUUAAAACUUUUCCAACGUUUUCUUUUCCAAUGCCCAGCAGAAGCCACUGGUGAGAGCUGGACCCCGUGACUCCAUGGGAGCUCUCUCUCGGAGCAGCACGCACCCAGUUCUCUCGACUCCUGGUUCCCAACAGGGCGCUGAAGGAUCAGUGUUUCAGAGCCUCGCUUCGUGCUAACAAAUGAAACUUCACAAAACUCAGGUAAACGAGUGAAAGAAUCUGUAUUCUGGAAGCAGAAACUGCAGCACAGAGAAAUGCAUUCAUCUUUUCGAAGGCUGUCUGCCAUUACAAGGAUUGCAUAAGGAUUUUUGUUUUAAGCUGUAUCCAAGGCACAUGUUCUACAUAGAUGUCAGACAUUUUUACUUGGUUUUCUACCAGAGUUUUGUGAUUACAGCAUAAGGGGUUUUUUUUUUCCCUUGUGUUUGGAAGAUCCGUCUUUAAAUCAGAGAUCUAGGAAUAUGGGGCAAAUGUGGCUUCUGAGGCUUGUUCACAUUUGAAUUGCAUGGUAGCAGACUUAACAGGAGAGAAUUCUUCCCUUCUUGAAAUUCAAGACAUUGAAAGGUUAAUUCAGUCUUCUCAGUUCCAUUUCCUUCCUUCUGCUCUUCUUCCCACACUCCCCCCCCCCCCAUCUGUAGACAGCUGAGCUAUUUGAAUUUUAUGCAAGCUUGUAUUCAUCCAAAGGGAAAUAUCAUUCAGUGCAUGCACCAGAGAAGAGAAAAUUACACUAUUGCACAUUUUAAUUUCCCACUUGCAAUUUGCUUUUCUCUUUAUUCCCAGGUUUGGGCAGUAGGCUGACAAACUCAUGCCCUAAAGCAAACUUCCACUCAGAAGUUAACUUGAAUUAAAGCUCGAAAUGUCCCCGUCCCCUUUAAAUUCCUGCACUUGGAACUUUCAAGGAUCUACACUCGAGCUGCCGUGGUGCUCUCACCUUGAGCUGUGGAAGAGCUGCAGUUCAAGUUAGCACAACCUGCCUGCUGCCAACACAAUCUGUCUCUGCUCUUCCGUGUUGUUUCAUGGUGUGGUCACUCCCAUUCAAAGUAUAAUUAUCCCCGAGGUGACAACUUGAGUGUACAGAGCUCAAAUUUACCCUGUUAUGAAGACAUAUCCUUAAAAAGACUGCAGAUUAUUUCUGUUCUUUGUAUAUGUUUGCAAGGAACAAGCCUGAAAGUAGCCACUGAAAACGCUUUAAUUUGGUCAAAUCCUGAAGCAGCAGCUAUUUGCUUUGGAUGCUGCAGAAGGAAAAUAGCCUAAUAUUUUUCCUUUACUUCUUGGAGAAGAAAAACAUUGUUUACAUAGUGUGCUGCAGCAUUCAUUUGAGCAGGCAACUGAUAACAAAUGUGGAGCUUAUUGAUUACCACUUUCUUAGGUAAUUGCUGACCUUGUGCACAAACUGUACUAUCUGUGUGUUUGGCUUACAGACAGGCUCAUCAAAUCGGAGGAUGAUUUUUGGAAAAGAUGACGUAUGAAUCCCUUCGCGUAGAAAUACAACAUUUUAUUCUGGAAAUUCCUUGCGGAGAUCAGCUAGAAAAGAUACCGGGCUGUCCGCUCCUCUGUUUCGGCAGCCUUCUUUCCUUAGGCAGUUGAAAAACGUGAGAGUUUAUCUUCUUUUCCACCAAACACAAUGCCUGCUUAAGCUCCGAGGUCCCAGGCUAUUGGAACUGGAAGGAUUUUGCAGCACUGGUGGUCAGGCAUCCCUCACAGCUUCAGCAGCAGCCGUGUGUCCCUCAAGUCAGGGGCGUUACGCCUUCAUAUCUCCCCCAGCACACAGCGUAACGUUGGUGGGAAUGGCAGCCUCACCUGUUGUGUGCUUUUCCUCCGGACAAAAAUGAAAAUCUAAACGUUGAGCUUGUAGAUCUCUGGAUUUUAUGGCCUUGUCUUCGGUUGCCUUUGCUCGUCAGUUCGGUGCUCCAGCUGCAGAUGAAGCGUCACAGUUCAAUCAGAAUGCUGCUUCUCCUUUUGUUUAAGGUUAAAAGAGUGAGGACUUCGACAACGGAUUGCUGAAUUCAAUAGGCUGCUGAAUUCCAGAGCAAUAAGCUGCACUGCAAAGAGCCACCUCUGGGCACGCUCCCAGUGCUCACCUAUGACUUCCUUCUCUGCCCUACUCUUUCCCUCUGCUUGAGAGAGAAGCUAUUGUUACUAGUGUCUAGAGGCAAAAAGGAGGUAUAUACUUAAAAAAAAAAAAAGUAAAUAGUGGAAAUCAUGCUAAACUAGCAUUUCUAGAGCAGUAUUCAUCAUUUGCCCUAUAGCAUACUGACUGUAGUGACUAAUAUGUCACAUGCUUCUUUCCCCACCCUUUCUUUGGGAGAGAAGCAUGUGCAUGGACAUUUUGUAUUAAUCUUUUUCCUUUAGUAAUGCACACAUAUGUCGCCACAUUUUGCUAGAGAAGGCAAUACCAAAGCCAAGAAUGUUGUGCUGAAAGAUACAGUUUUGGGUCAGCUUUUCAGAAAGCUCUGUCGCAAGAAUCUCCAUCUGGCUAAACUUUUAAAAAUUCACCCCCAUAGUGAAUUUUGGAAGUCCAAAGAAGAGGGAGAGAGGAAAUUUCCACUCCCACCAGCUUAUGUUUUCUCUCCUUUUUUUUUUUUUUUUUCUGCUGCAAUAAGACUCCUAGCACAGACGGAGUCCAGAGCUACUUGGAAAACAUGGGGUUGGAAAAAAUAGCCAGAGCAGAAGGACUGUCUACAUCUAGCCUGUCUUCUCCUCCCAUCUGCAGCCACCCUUGAGGCUCAGUGUUCUAGAGGAGGAAAACUGAGCCCCUUAGGUAACAAUCAAACACACACUGGAGGACAAGAACCAAUUGUUUACACACUGGCAAUGCAAGACUACAAGAGACACCCUGCCAAAGAGACAUCAUUGCCUUCGCUACACCCCCAGGAUUCAUUGUCUCUCAGCCUGGGAACCUGUCUCCGUUCCCAAACAUGGAUUUUUUUUUUGGCAGCAAGAUAGAGCAAAGAGCACAAAGAGAACUAAGAAAGCCCUUCCAGUAAAGCUGUAGUCUCUUUUCUGUUCUCCUAAGGACGGAACCCUCUGCGUGCAGCUUACAGCACAGCCCGUCCUGCCACCUUGCUGGAAGGUGCUCGACUCCCCAAGGAACCAAAGGGAACCGGGGUGCUCGCAGAACCCAGCCCGGCACUUUUGACCUCGAAAAAUCCAUCUCCUACCUUGACCACCAAAAGUACCACAACAUUUUGAGAAUGAAAUCA